CGCUUGCCCUGCUCCUCUCUUGGCUGCUAGCCCAGUGUGUUAUGGUGCACUGUGGGCUUUCCCUCAGCGCUACUUCAGAUCUUUUUCGGAACUGAGAAAAUAGACGGCAAAUUACGGAACGCCACCUAUUUUAAUUCGUUUUCAUCUUCCCAGGGUUUCCAUACAACAGGCUUUGAAAGACUCCACCUGAGUCUGUUUAGCCUUCCUAGGUUGCUCCUGUGUCAUACCAUCUUCUAACUUCAACCUGACUAGAUCUGGACUCUUCGGUCUGUGAGGGCAUUUCAAGGAAGGAUUAACUAAAAGGAGAAGACCUAACCCUCAUCCAGAGUGUGCAGUACCUUCCCAAGACUGAAGAUCAAGUGCUUGACAGAAAUCCUCCAGCCCUUCACCAUCAGAAUGGAAAUGCUGAAGCAUCCAGCCCUGUGGACUAUGCAGCUACAAGAUUCUCAACCUCUCUGAUGUUCAAAAAAAAAACCCAGCUAUUGGACUUCCCAGCUCCUAUCAUACAAACUCGUGUAAUCUCCUUUGUUAAAUGUAUAUUCCUUCAAUUCAUUCUGUUCUCCUCAAGAACCUUGACUAAUACAGAGCACACACUCUAUUAUGAAUUGUACUGAACAUUUUAUUUAUAAUCUUAUUUCACACACUUUCACAAUAUGAGGUACUAUUACCUGCUGUCCUAGUUAGGGUUAAUAUUGCUGUGAUGAAACACCAGAUCAAAAGCAACUUGUAGGGGGAAAGGUUUAUUUGGCUUACACUUCUAGGUGACAGUCCAUCACUGAGAGAAGUCAGAGCAGGAACCUGAAGACAAGAGCUGAUGCAGAAGAAAUAGAGGAGUGUUACUUGUGCUUACUCAUUUUCUUCCCCUGGCUUUGUCAGCCUGCUUUCUUAUAGAACCAGCCUUGGGUGGCCUCACCCACAAUGGGCCCUCCCACAUCAAUCACUAAUUAGGAAAAUGCCCCACGGGCUUGCCUACAGCAUUAUAUUAUGAAAGCAUUUUCUCAAUGGAGAUUCACCCCUCUCAGAUGACUAUAGCUUGUGUCAAAUUGAUACAAAAUAUAUGCAGGACAUCUAUAUUUUAGAAAUGAAAAAAACUGAGGAUCUGUUAAAUACCACAGUCGAGGCAUCAUGAUUUAAUCUCAGUACCCACCUGAAAGGAUGGAAGAACAAUGCAAGGCAGUUCACCUAAAUGGAAAAUCUAAGACUUAGCUUCUAAGCGCUCUCCGAAUUAAGACAGUGGGGAGAUUGAGACAGUCUAGCACAUCCAACCUUUUAAUGUUUAUUAAGUAAUUGUUCUAUAAGUGGUCCCUUGCUAGGUACUGUGAAACACUGGGCUCACAUCAGGUAUAGAAACCAAACAUACCAACAGAUUUACACAAAAUGAGCUGUGCAGGAGUUAGGCUCAAGGCAGUCAAACAAUGCUACAACUAGGAAAGGCCAGUGAGGUUUCAUAAAGAAUGUAAUGUUUGAAAUUAUUCUUCAAGGGUAUGCAUGAAUAGAUCAAUUGGAUAAUCUGUCUUUCCAGCAUAUUCAGCUAGAGAAUUUGUUCCUGGUUAUUUAUAUAAAAACACAGAAGUCAUACUUCACAAUAAACCUGAAUUUUAAAAACAUA